rnacentral:lncRNA from 1 species
CGGGGAGGCACCCACCGCGAGGGGGAGACUGAGAGCCAGUCCCUCCCACCCCCGGCUCUUAGGACUCGCAUCGCAAGCGGGGGAGGCACGCCACGCGAGGCGGGGACUGAGAGCCAGCCCCCCUUCCCCCCGGGCUUAGGACCCCCCUGGAGGACUGUGGGUAUGGGGUGUCCAAGAAGAAAGCUCAGAUCUGCCCACGGCAGGUACCUUACUUGGGAUUUACAAUCGACAGGGGUCCGAACGCAGCCCGGGAAAAGAAAGAAAGCAGGACCCCCAUCGCAGGAGUCGGAGGCACCCCCCGCGAGGCGGGGACUGAGAGAGAGCUCCUCUUCCCCCCCAGGAUCUUAGGACCCCCAUCGCGGGGGGGGAGGCACUCCCGCCAGGAUCCCCAUCGCAAGGGGGGAAGACACCGCCCACGAGUCGGGGACUGAGAGCCAGCCCCUCUUCCCCCGCUGGCUUAGGACCCCCACCGCGGAUUCUAAGAUCCUUAGCACCCACCUGGAGGACUGGGGGUUUUAGGUGUCCAAGAAGAAAGCUCAGACCUGCCGACCGCAGGACCUCCAUCGCAGCGGGGCAGGCACACACCGCGAGGCGGGAACUGAGAGCCAGCCCCUCCCACCUCUGGCUCUUAGGACUCACAUUGCAAGUGGGGGAGGCAUCCUCCGCGAGGCGCGGACUGAGAGCCAGCCCCUCUUCCCCCCCUGGCUCUAGGGACCCCCAUCGCAGGGGGUGGAGGCACCCCACGCGAUUCGGGGACUGAGAGCCAGCCCCUCUCCUUCCCCCUGCUCUUCGGACCCCCAUCGCAGGGCGGGGAGGCACCCACCGCGAGGCGGGGACUGAGAGCCAGCCCCUCUACCCCCCGUGGCUCUUAGGAGCCCCAUCGCAGGGUGGGAGGCCACCCGGCGAGGCGAGGAUUGAGAGCCAGCCCGUCUUCCCCCCUUGGCUCUUAGGAGCCCCAUCGCGGGUGGGGAAGGCACCCCCCGCGAGGCAGGGACUGAGAGCCAGCCUCUCUUCCUCCCGUGGCUCUUAGGACCCCCAUCGCAGUGGGGGGAGGCACCCCCCGCGAGGCGGGGACUGAGAGCAAGCCCAUUUCCCCCCCCCCCGGCUCUUAGGACACCCAACGCAGAGGGGGGAGGCACCCCCUGCGAGGCAGGAACUGAGAGCCAGACCCACUUCUCCCCGGCUCUUGGGAUCCCCAUCGCGGGGAGGGGAGGCACCCCACACGAGGCGGGGACUGAGAGCCAGCCCCUCUUCCCCCCCUGGCUAUUAGGACCCCCAUCGCAGGGGGGAGAGGCACCCCCCGAGAGGCAGGGACGGAGAGCCUGCACCUCUUCCCCCACGGGCUCUUAGGACCCCCAUCGCAGGCGCUUCGCACCCCACGCGAGGCGGGUACUGAGAGCCAGCUCCUCUUUCCCCCGUCUCUUAGGACUGCCAUCGCAGAGGGGGAGGUAACCCCCGCCAGGCAGGGACUGACAGCCAGCCCCUCUUCACCUCUGGCUCUUAGGCCCCCAUCGCAGAGUGGGGAGGCACCACAUGCGAGGCGGGGACUGCGAGCCAGCCCCACUUCCCCCCUGGCUCUUGGGACCACCAUCGCAGUGGGGGGAGGUACACCCCGCGAGGCGGGGACGGAGAGUCAGCCCCUCUUCCCCCACUGGCUCUUGGGAACCCCAUCGCAAGGGGGAGAGGCACCCUCCGCGACGCGGGGACUGAGAGACAGCCCCUCUUCCCCCCCUGGCUCUAGGGACCCCCAUCGCAGGGGGUGGAGGCACCCCACGCGAUGCGGGGACUGAGAGCCAGCCCCUCUCCGCCCCCCCCGACCCCGCCCGGGUCUUCGGACCCCCAUCGCAGUGGGGGGAGGCACCCCAUGCGAGGCGGGGUCUGACAGCCAAACCCUCUUCCCCCUCUGGCUCUUAUGACCCCCAUAGCAAGGGGGGAGGCACCCCCCGCGAGGCGGGGACUAGAGCCAGCCCCUCUUCCCACCCUGGCUUAGGACCCCCAUCGCGGAUCCUAAGAUCCUUAGGACCCAACUGGAGGACUGUGGGUAUUAGGUGCCCAAGAAGAAAGCUCAGAUCUGCCGACGUUACUUGGGAUUUACUAUCCGACAGGUGUCCGAACACAGCUCGAGAUCAGAAAGAAAGCAGGGGUCCGAACGCAGCCCGGGAUCAGGAAGAAAGCAGGUCGUUUGCAAUCUACCGGAGCCUAAGGGCAGAAGGCAGGAUCGUGGGAACAAUAUCCCAGGGGGGUUUCCACUUUCUGCCAUAUAUGUAGUCACAUCGCCCACUCCGCCUUGGAAUAUUAUUAAGGACCAUCUAACACGAGGGUGUAUACGUCCUGCGAUAUUACGAGUAAUAUCAACUUCUUGGCCUCUGAAUAUGAGGAAGAAUAUCACAGGGGGUCCGAAUGCAGCCCGGGAUCACAAAGAAAGCAGGUCGUUUGCAAUCUACCAGAGCCUAAGGGCAGAAGGCAGGAUCGUGGGAACAAUAUCCCAUGGGGGUGUACCCUUUCUGCCAUAUAUGUAGUCACAUCACCCACUCCGCCUUGGAAUAUUAUUAAGGACCAUCUAACACGAGGGUGUAUACGUCCUGUGAUAUUGGGAGUAAUAUCAACUUCUCGGCCUCUGAAUAUGAGGAAGAAUAUCACAGGGAUAUUAAUAACAAUUUCACAGGCUGGGUGAACACAGCCGGCGAUGCUGAAAUUAUUAUCAUCCUCUCCCCCUCUUCCCCUCCUGGCUCUCAGUCCCCGCCUCACGGGUUAUGUAGCGGGUUAUGGCAAGAAGACAAACUGCAGUUUCCUGCACAGAACAGCACAAACAAUGAUCCAAGCUCAGUUACAACACAAUAUUGGUCAUCAUUUGACCAUGGACUUCAAUAUCAACCCUUAGAAACCUUCCUAAAACAGGUCAGCAAAACACCAAGAAGCAAUAUCCUGAAUGAUAGGAAAAUAUCCUUGCUUGUGCAAAUUGUUUCCACUUAAUUUUUUUCAACAAAUGUUAAUUAUAUUUUUACUUUCUAAAAAUUUUUAAUAAAAUAUAGCCUACUUGGUUAAAAA